CCGAAGAGGCCAGAAUUGGGUCAAAUGGAUGAGGCUGAAGACAGUUUACCACAUGAUUAUCAGCUUCCAGCAGCAUGAGAUGUUCAGCAGUAUGGCGAUCCCAUAUAAAAAUAUGGCCACAGUCUGAACCACUCAUGACAAAGUUAGAUCCCCAAAAAUUGGCUUCCUUUAUCAUUGUUCGGGAGUUCCGAUGACCUUUAUAAACCAUCUUUAUUAAAGGACGUCUAAUGUUCAAAGUCUCCAACUCUUCCAUUUCUUUCCUUUCUUUCCUCCUUCUGAAGAGCUCCUGAAUGCGGGCAACAGCAGAUCGUCUCAUUAUUCUAUCACCUAUCGCUGUUCCUCUGAUAUUAUAUCUGUGUCCUGGUCCUCCUCG
rnacentral:lncRNA from 1 species